rnacentral:rRNA from 1 species
GACGAACGCUGGCGGCGUGCUUAACACAUGCAAGUCGAACGGAAAGGCCCUGCUUUUGUGGGGUGCUCGAGUGGCGAACGGGUGAGUAACACGUGAGUAACCUGCCCUGACUUUGGGAUAACUUCAGGAAACUGGGGCUAAUACCGGAUAGGAGCUCCUGCUGCCUGGUGGGGGUUGGAAAGUUUCGGCGGUUGGGGAUGGACUCGCGGCUUAUCCGCUUGUUGGUGGGGGAGUGGCUUACCAAGGCUUUGACGGGUAGCCGGCCUGAGAGGGUGGCCGGAAAAAUGGGGACGGAGAGAAGGCAAAGAGUGAGACGGGAGGCAGAAGGGGGGAAUAGGGAAAAAGGGGCGGAAGGAUGAUGAAGAAACGACGCGGGAGGGAGGAAGGACGUAGGGGUGGAAAAAGAGUAAGCAUGGGAAGAAGAGGGAGGGACGGAAAUGGGUAAAGAAGAACAGGAGAACUAAGUG